GUUAAAAAAACAACAUGAUAAACAUUUUGCUUCUAAAAGGUGUGCAUUUGGUAGAUUUGAAUGAGUUGGCUUUUCGAUUUAAAUGUAUAUUUCAUCUUCCUUUCUCAAUUUCAGGCCAAAGUUAUUGUCACCAAGUUCUUAAGUGCUGGCAAUUCGCUUGGAGCCUCUGAAUUUAAUUCAAUUGGAGGGCCUAACCUGUGCGCACUGGACCUCAGUGUGUUGCAAGGCAUCAGAAAUGACAGUCUCCGUUAAGAUCAUUGACAGAUCUUGCUGUGUGAGAGAGACACCUUGUGGUCGAGUCACUCCAGUUCACAUUUAUCUUUGUUGUGCUCUUGCAGUGGUUAACCUCAACAGAGUAUCCAGGCCUAAACGCCCCUUAAAAUGUUGGACCAUUUUCAUAUGCUUUUUUUGUUUGAGUGUUCAUAGUUAGUGUUUUUCUUGUGCCUUCUGAACACAACAGAGAUGCAGAUGCUCUGGAAAUCACUAGCUGUUCCUCAGCACAUAAGAAGGCCUUCUUUGCAGUAGCUGAGAUCGCCUUUCCUAUCAACUUCAUCCAAACCUGCGCCACUGCAGAUCAGCUAACAUCCUACCAGACAUACCUGGGAGGUGCCAUUAUCACCUACAUACGGAGUCUGUCUAGGGUGAAUAUUAGCAUGGACAUCAACACUUUUAUUUGUUUGGAUUCAGCUGCUGUCCAGGCUCGUAGUGUGAGUGAAGUGUCUGGACUCCUCGGCUCCAACCUAAAUGACCUGAAAACCUUUGAGAAUAACACUGUAAUGCAGAACUGGGUGUCAAAGCAGUUACAGUCUGAGCUUGACAAGCUGGGUAUCAGUCUGACCGGAGGAAGGGUGGAUUCAAACACCACCCCCAUGACAACAAAUACUGCCACCACCAUCAAAAAUACAAC